rnacentral:rRNA from 1 species
GACGAACGCUGGCGGCGUGCUUAACACAUGCAAGUCGAACGGAAAGGCCUCUUUCGGGGGGUACUCGAGUGGCGAACGGGUGAGUAACACGUGAGUAACCUGCCCUUGACUUUGGGAUAACUUCAGGAAACUGGGGCUAAUACCGGAUAGGAGCUCCUGCUGCAUGGUGGGGGUUGGAAAGUUUCGGCGGUUGGGGAUGGACUCGCGGCUUAUCAGCUUGUUGGUGGGGUAGUGGCUUACCAAGGCUUUGACGGGUAGCCGGCCUGAGAGGGUGACCGGCCACAUUGGGACUGAGAUACGGCCCAGACUCCUACGGAAGGCAGCAGUGGGGAAUAUUGCACAAUGGGUGGAAGCCUGAUGCAGCAACGCCGUGUGCGGGAUGACGGCCUUCGGGUUGUAAACCGCUUUCGCUCACGACGAAGCUUUGUGUGACGGUAGUGGGUAAAGAAGCACCGGCUAACUACGUG